rnacentral:rRNA from 1 species
GACGAACGCUGGCGGCGUGCUUAACACAUGCAAGUCGAACGGAAAGGCCCUGCUUGCAGGGUACUCGAGUGGCGAACGGGUGAGUAACACGUGGGUGAUCUGCCCUGCACUUCGGGAUAAGCUUGGGAAACUGGGUCUAAUACCGGAUAGGAGCCAUCUUUAGUGUGGUGGUUGGAAAGUUUUUUCGGUGUAGGAUGAGCUCGCGGCCUAUCAGCUUGUUGGUGGGGUAAUGGCCUACCAAGGCGGCGACGGGUAGCCGGCCUGAGAGGGUGUACGGCCACAUUGGGACUGAGAUACGGCCCAGACUCCUACGGGAGGCAGCAGUGGGGAAUAUUGCACAAUGGGCGCAAGCCUGAUGCAGCGACGCCGCGUGGGUGAUGAAGGCCUUCGGGUUGUAAACUCCUUUCGCUAGGGACGAAGCUUUUUGUGACGGUACCUAGAUAAGAAGCACCGGCUAACUACGUG